UACGAAGGGGGCUAGCGUUGCUCGGAAUCACUGGGCGUAAAGGGUGCGUAGGCGGGUAUUUAAGUCAGAGGUGAAAUCCUGGAGCUCAACUCCAGAACUGCCUUUGAUACUGAAGAUCUUGAGUCCGGGAGAGGUGAGUGGAACUGCGAGUGUAGAGGUGAAAUUCGUAGAUAUUCGCAAGAACACCAGUGGCGAAGGCGGCUCACUGGCCCGGUACUGACGCUGAGGCACGAAAGCGUGGGGAGCAAACAGG
rnacentral:rRNA from 1 species